CAAAAAGGAGGGGGCAUGGGAUUCAAAUAUCUUCAUGCUUUUAAUGUGGCCAUGUUAGCUAAACAAUGUUGGAGAUUAAUCAAUAACCCAGAUACUCUUUGUGCAAGGGUGCUCCGAGCUAAGUAUUAUCCAGAUGGGAAUUUACUUAAGGCAGGCAACAAAAAGUCUUAUUUCACGUGGCAAAGUGUGGUGUCAGGACUGCGGGUAUUUUUGAGAGGUCAUAUUUGGCGAGUCGGAACAGGAGCUAACAUAAAUAUUUGGGAUGAUUGCUGGAUUCCUUCUAGCCCGACACGUAAAGUUAUGACACCAAAGGUCACAUACUUUUGUCUAAGGUUGACGAGCUUAUAG
rnacentral:rRNA from 1 species